rnacentral:tRNA from 1 species
GGCGAUGUAGCUCAGCAGGUUAGAGCGAGCGCUUCAUAAGCGCUAGGUCACAAGUUCGAGUCUUGUCAUCGCCACCA